AUUGAACGCUGGCGGAAUGCUUUACACAUGCAAGUCGAACGGCAGCACGGGGGCAGCCCUGGUGGCGAGUGGCGAACGGGUGAGUAAUACAUCGGAACGUGCCCGGUCGUGGGGGAUAACGUAGCGAAAGUUACGCUAAUACCGCAUACGAUCUGAGGAUGAAAGCGGGGGACCUUCGGGCCUCGCGCGAUCGGAGCGGCCGAUGUCAGAUUAGGUAGUUGGUGGGGUAAAGGCCUACCAAGCCGACGAUCUGUAGCUGGUCUGAGAGGACGACCAGCCACACUGGGACUGAGACACGGCCCAGACUCCUACGGGAGGCAGCAGUGGGGAAUUUUGGACAAUGGGCGCAAGCCUGAUCCAGCCAUUCCGCGUGCAGGACGAAGGCCUUCGGGUUGUAAACUGCUUUUGUACGGAACGAAAAGGCUCUGGCUAAUACCUGGGGCUCAUGACGGUAUCGUAAGAAUAAGCACCGGCUAACUACGUG
rnacentral:rRNA from 1 species